rnacentral:rRNA from 1 species
UACGUAGGGUGCGAGCGUUAAUCGGAAUGACUGGGCGUAAAGGGCGCGUAGGCGGAUGGCACAGUCAGAUGUGAAAUUCCCGGGCUUAACCUGGGGGCUGCAUUUGAUACGUAUGGACUUGAGUUCGGAAGAGGGUCGUGGAAUUCCCAGUGUAGAGGUGAAAUUCGUAGAUAUUGGGAAGAACACCGGUGGCGAAGGCGGCGACCUGGUCCGAUACUGACGCUGAGGCGCGAAAGCGUGGGGAGCAAACAGGAUUAGAUACCCCGAGUAAGUCC